UGCUCACUGAUAUAAUUUGUUAAAGAGCUGCGGUAUAUUGACUGUACAAAGGUAGCGUAAUCAUUAGUUUUUUAAUUGAAAACUUGUAUGAAUGGUUUGACAAAAUAAAUAUUGUCUCUAUUAUUAAAAUAAAAUUUAACUUUUAAGUGAAAAGGCUUAAAUAUUUCAAAGUGACGACAAGACCCUAAAAGCUUUAUAUUUACUUUUUUUCUUUUGAAAUUGAUUUAAUAUAAAUUAAAGAUGUACUUAAUUAGUUGGGGCGACGUAUAAAUAAUUUUAUUAACUUUAUAAUAUUUAAUACAUUUAUUUAUGAAUAUCUAAUAGAUCCUUAUUAAAGAUUGGAGUAAAGUUACUUUAGGGAUAACAGCGUAAUUUUUUUUGAGAGUUCAUAUCGAAAAAAGAGAUUGCGACCUCGAUGUUGAAUUAAAAAUUCUGUUUAGUGUAGCAGCUAAGUAAGAAGGUCUGUUCGACCUUUAAUUUUUUACGUGAUCUGAGUUCAGACCGGA
rnacentral:rRNA from 1 species